AUGGGGAAGUGGGACAAAUGGGUGGCCUAGAUGCAUCCAACAGCAAUGGCAAGAUCAAGGGGUUCAAUCCAGUCUUCAGGGCCAACAAUACAGGAUUAUCUUAAUUGACCAAGGCCUACCUGGAAAGAAGUAAAAGAGCAACCAGAAAAGGAAAAGAAAGGCUCCAGGGCUUUGGCUGAAUAAAAUGAAUGAGAACUGGAAGAAAGAACUAGAAAAACACAGGGGGAAAUUGUUAAGUGGAAGUGAGAGCUCAUCUAAAAAGCGACAGAGAAAGAAAAAAGAAAAAAUCUGGUAGGUAUUCAUCUUCUUCUUCAUCAAGCUCUGAUUCUUCCAGCAGUUCUUCAGAUUCUGAAGAUAAGGAUAAGAGACAAGGAAAACGGAGAAAGAGAAAGAAGAACCGUUCACAUAAAUCUUCUGAAAGGUCCAAAUCAGAAACUGAAUCAGACAGUAAGGAUAGUUUUAAAAAGAAAAAGAAGUCAAAAGAUGCCACUGAGAAAGAAAAGGACAUUAAAGGACUCAGAAAAAAGAGAAAGAUAUACUCAGAAGACAAACCUUUAUCAUCAGAGUCCUUGUCAGAAUCAGAGUAUAUUGAGGAGGUAUGAGCAAAAAAGAUGAAAAGCAGUGAAGAACAAGAAAAAGCAACAGAAAAAAAAAAAAAAGAAAGAAAGAAAAAGAAGCAUAAGAAACACAGUAAGAAGAAGAAAAAGAAGACUGCUAGUUAAAGUCCUGACUCACCAUAACAUUCAGAAAAAUCAGGAUUCCCUUAUAAAGAAAGCACAAUGUCUGAGGAAAUUGCAACUGUGAAAACUACAACAUAUUUACUAAAAUGCAUGAAUUUUCUUGUUUUUAGAAUUAUUCCUGGACUAUUCAGUAGCCACUCAGAUGCCACUGUGUGAAAGGGCCAUAAAUGUUGCCUGCUGCUUGAACAUCUAUUUUUUUCUCUUAUAGCGCUUGAUAACUCUGGGAGAUAAUACACUGCAGUCGUACUAGUGGUUAAGAUAUUUGGGAAUAAAAUCAAUACUUUUGACUAGAAGUGUCUAAGGAUAAACCAACCGAAAUUGAAUCUGGAUACAUCUUUAAGAUGUGAUCAGAAAUGACCAGAUGACUCUAGUUAAAAUUUUUGAAGGAGGGAUUACAUUAAUAUUUCAAAACCCUUAUUCUGUAAAUAAGUGUAUUUUAAUUUUUUCCCCUUAUAUACUUUUAUUUACCUGGGGAAGGAGGUUGGAGGGGGUGGUUUGCUCUCUCUUUAGCUAGCAGAAUAGUGUGCCUUUGAUCCUCACACAUCCGUAUUGUGGACACAGCAGCCAUGCUUCACGGGGAGGUCAGAGCUGGCUACCAGCAGUCUUGCCCUUUACUGAGCUUAGUGUCAUCCUUGGAUGCUGUCAUAUGCUGCUUUGAGUGAACUAGAGAAACAGCCAUUUGCAGCAUGAGAAAGUCCCAAAAGCUCUGGGAUUUACCUCCACUUCAAUAAUCAUGAAUAUUUUUUAGCAUUAGAAUGUGUUAUGCCAUUUGAAAUAAUUUUGAUUACACUUUGGCUUGGGAAAGGAAUUAUUUUAAAUAGACACUGGUACUUUUUGAACUUGAUAGCUAAGGAUUCUAAAAUGCAUAUUUUAUACUAAGUUUUAACCAGUCAGGAAAAUUUUAUGUAACCAGUGAUAGUUUAUUUUUUGUAUGAAUUUUGUUUAGGCUGCAAUGUUUAGCUUUUGUUAACUCCUCACUCUUGCUGUCUUAAGUUCAUUACUAUGUUUAACAACCUACUUGCCAAGAUAUUUAGCAUGUAAAAUGCAGGGUUUUGAUUAAA